rnacentral:rRNA from 1 species
GUACACGCUGUGACUAGCAUAUCAAUAAGCGGAGGAAAAGAAACUAACAAGGAUUCCCCUAGUAACGGCGAGUGAAGCGGGAAGAGCUCAAAUUUGAAAUCUUAAAGGGUUUCCCUUUACGAAUUGUAGUUUAAAGAAGUGUUUUCUGUUGAGGUUUUGGUAAAAGUUCUUUGGAAUAGGACAUCAUAGAGGGUGAGAAUCCCGUAUUUGACCUUUACUUUCAACUUUGUGAUACACUUUCAAAGAGUCGGAUUGUUUGGGAAUGCAGUCCAAAAUGGGUGGUAAAUUUCAUCUAAAGCUAAAUAUUGGCGAGAGACCGAUAGCGAACAAGUACCGUGAGGGAAAGAUGAAAAGAACUUUGAAAAGAGAGUUAAACAGUACGUGAAAUUGUCAAAAGGGAAGCGUUUGACACCAGUGUUGUUUUUCUGAAAAUCAAUUAAAGAACUGUUUAUGCUAAGUUGUUUAGACUUUAUCAGCUAAUCUGUUUAGUUUUGAGCUUUUCUUUAAUGCACUUUUCAGUUAACAAGUCAACAUCAAUUUCUUUUGCUGUAAAAAGCUUGAGGAAGGUGGCUUGAGAUUCGUCUUAAGUGUUUAUAGCCUCUUGCCUAUGCAGUCGGAGAGAUUGAGGUCUGCAGCGUAGAUCCUUCGGGGCUAAAUGCAUUUGUGCUAAGUUAUAGCAUUUUAUAGACAACUUGUUGACUAUGAUUUGUCUUGUAGCUUACUCGCUUAUGUUAUUUUACCUACGCUUAGGAUGUUGACGCGCGUGUGUGCGUG